UUUUGAGAAGCAAUGCAAUAUAUUCAGUACACCAUAAUUAAUUAACUUCAUAAAUUAAAGCUUCUCCAAGUAAUGGCAUCAUUUAAAUUUGGUUUGAUCUUCACUGCACUUCUUCUCGUCAUGGCAACCACUAUGGAUGUGAUGUGGUUCUCGAAGACCAAAGUUAUGGCUGCAAGAAAUGUCGAUCUUCAUGUAUUAUCAAGGAGACUACUUCCACAACUUAACGAUAUAAUUACAUGUGGGACUCUGUGUGGUCCUCAUAGUCCUACUGAUUACGAUUGCAGUGAUUGUUGGUAUUGUUGUGACUGCAGACAAGAAGCUUGGGAUCUUAACAUUUUUCGUUGUGGGUACCCAGAGUAGCAAGACAAGAACCUUUGUUUUUCUCCUACAAUAACAAAUGAAUACUACUACUUUUCUUUUCAAUUUACUUGUCAAGAAUAACAAACUCAAACUUCUAACACUUUGGUUAGGUGGGUUGUCGUGUAUUCUUUUCUAGUGUAUCGUAUUGUAUUGUAUAGUUUAGUGUUAUGUUGUAUCGUAUUGUAUUUUUUUAAUGAAUAUUUUUUCUGUCCCACAAUAGUUAUUCAGUGUCC